AACCUUAUGGACCUGCGGGCGUAUACCUGCGGAGGGAUCAUUACAGAGUUGCAAAACUCCCUAAACCAUUGUGAACCUACCUUCUACCGUUGCUUCGGCGGGCGGGCCUAGCGCCCCCCCGGCCCCCCGCGGGCGCCCGCCGGAGGAUAACCAAACUCUUGACAUCAGUGGCCUCUCUGAGUAUUCUUUACUGAAUAAGUCAAAACUUUCAACAACGGAUCUCAGAUCGGAAGAGCACAC
rnacentral:misc_RNA from 1 species